CCGAUGGCUGUAAGAUAGAGAUAGAUAGAUAGAUAGAUAGAUAGAUACUUUAUUGAUCUCCAAGGGGAAAUUUAAGGUCCCCAUAGCUUAAAGACAUUACACACAUAUACGUCAUAAACAGGAUGAUAAAAACAAAUCCACAUGAAUAAUAUGGACAAUAAAAGAAAAGAUACUAAAUACAAAUCCACAUGAAUGGACUAAGGAAUGUAUAAGCAUGAGAUGCUUGCAGUGACAGGGCAGGGACUGACCCUGUAAUUCAGUAUGCAUGGUAAGCUAAGGUGCUCUAUGAAAGUGUGUGUCAUGGUGGAAGUGCAAAUAAGUCCAAUAAAAAAACUAUAGCAGUGCAAGGAUAAAGUAAAACAAAAGACAGCGUUACAUAUUGGCAUUAUAAGGGAAUAAAUUAGAUAAUAGGAUAGACACAAAUCAACAGUCGAUAUUAGAGGUUUGAAGUAAGAGGGUUCAAGUAUUACUCAGUCUAGGCUGGGUGAAGGUGGGAGGGAGGGGUUGUACAUGGGCUAAUAUCGCCUGUAAACAGUGUAAGCUGUAAACAGUGGGCCAGUGGACAGUCAGUAAAUAACUAUUGUUAUUGUUGUUGUUAUAGAAGGUAAUGGAAGUGGUGGAGGUGGAGGAGAGGCCCUUUUGUGAAGCAAUUUACAGUUGUAUGGCCCUGGGGACAAAUGUCUUUCUCAGUCUGUCAGUUGUGUUGGGCGGUGUGCGUAGUCUUAAGCUGAUCAUGCUCUUCUGCCUUGUUGUAGUGCUGUGGAGUGGAUGACAUUGUCCAAAAUUGUUGAGCAGGGUCCUUUUUUUUAUCUGAUAUUAAAGUGAUGCGCCCACAACAGAGCCAGCUUUCCUUGCUCUGAGAGAUAUGCUUACAUACAUGCAAUUUACACAGAAAAGUUAAAGUGUCGGUAUAUUUAACCUUUUGCAGGAACGCCCUGAUUACAUUCACACAGUUACACAAUCAUACCUGGAAGCUGCCCAGUACAACCACAGUCUGAUCUGCUGGCCACUGAGCAGCUCCACUGGAGUGUUUGGAGGUUAAGGGCCUUGCUCAAGUUACAUAUAUAUAUGUAACUAUAGUAUAGUAUAACUUUUUAACAAGGUAACUUUUGCAACUAGUCCUCUUUUGCAACUUUAUAACCACUUGAUAACCACUAUAGACGGUUAUAGACGGUUUACAAACCAACUAGUAACACUUAAAGUGUUAGGAAUAAUCAUCAAUUUACCAUCUAGUAAUGAUGGCUAUUAUAAAGUGUUACCAGAACAUGUUAUACACAUUACAGUGCGAUAUGAAUAUGCUAAGAUAUAUACUUUAUUUAUAUGUGGAGCAGUUAUAUUUGGAAAAAUAUAUAGUGCAAGUACAAUAGUGAGACAUUGCUCACAAUGGACAAAUGCAAGGGUCCUUAACGUCUUUAGGCUAAAGACCUGGAGCUGAAAAAGAGACAAAACAAGGACCACCUACUAAUACAGUAUUGUAUAAAAUUAAGUUGUAUAGUAAACUGGGCCUACAAUAAUGUGUAGGGUGGCCCAAAGCCUUUACACAUAGCUUUUUAUGGUGCAUACAAUCAGGGUUCAAAAUUAACUUUUUCGUCCGCCAGCCAAAUGCCCAGUGAAUGUUUAAAUUUUACCAGCCACUUAAUAGAUUGCCAUUGCUUUUUGGCUAAUGAAUGAAGCAAAUAUACCAGCCACUUGCAUAUUCAACUAGCAUUUGGCUAGUGGAUUUCCUGAAGUUUGAACCCUGCAUCAAUACUAAACUAUUAAAUGAAUUGCAGACAUUCAUAUAGUUAUACAUCAUGCUUUAAUACAUGUGGCACGGUGAAUACUUAAGCUUAACUGUAUCCGUGGAUGGCUACCUCAGUUGCUAGCUUACCUAUAAACCAGUAAGCUGAUUUAUCUUUGCCAAUAAUAUGUUGGAUUCAUCUUAAUGUAUAUUUUUGAGACAUUUCAAUAAAAAAUAAUGAA